UGGGGAAUAUUGCACAAUGGGCGCAAGCCUGAUGCAGCGACGCCGCGUGAGGGAUGACGGCCUUCGGGUUGUAAACCUCUUUCAGUGCCGACGAAGCGUGAGUGACGGUAGGCAUAGAAGAAGGACCGGCCAACUACGUGCCAGCAGCCGCGGUAAUACGUAGGGUCCGAGCGUUGUCCGGAAUUACUGGGCGUAAAGAGCUCGUAGGUGGUUUGUCGCGUUGUUCGUGAAAACUCACAGCUCAACUGUGGGCGUGCGGGCGAUACGGGCAGACUGGAGUACUGCAGGGGAGACUGGAAUUCCUGGUGUAGCGGUGGAAUGCGCAGAUAUCAGGAGGAACACCGGUGGCGAAGGCGGGUCUCUGGGCAGUAACUGACGCUGAGGAGCGAAAGCGUGGGGAGCGAACAGGAUUAGAUACCCCGUAGU
rnacentral:rRNA from 1 species